rnacentral:sRNA from 1 species
GUUUCCGUAGGUGAACCUGCUGCUGGAUCAUUACACCAAGAGUAAUGCUCAUAUUAUAAUUUUGAAUGACGACAGAUUAGAAUGGAAUCUGUUCGUCUCGCACUCAUUAUUUCUGGUAAUAGUGGGAAUGUGAACGGCUAACGUUGGCGUCUGUGUGUUUGCUGAGCAAUUGUCUUCGUCCGUGGUUGUGAUGAGGCACACGGUAGGACCCACAUCCAUGCCUCCGGGUGUGUGGUUUAAGACUUAAUGAGCCCGUCUGACUGAGGGCCGCCAACAUUCGUUUUUCUAUUAACAUUUUUAAACACAACAAAAAUUCUAGUCUUAUCGGUGGAUCACUCGGCUCGUGGUUCGAUGAAGAACGCAGCUAACUGCGAUAAAUAGUGCGAACUGCAGAAACAUUGAGCACAAAAGCUUCGAAUGCACAUUGCGCCAUUGGAGUCACUUCCUUUGGCACGCCUGGUUCAGGGUCAUUUUCAAAGAAAAAACACUAAUUGUGUUUUGGAAUAUAUAAUCAUUAUGUGUUUAUAUAACAUCAAAUAUCCCAUUUUGACCGUCGUUGGGAUAUAACAAUAAUUAGCUGGUAUUAUUUAUUGAAUCCAAAAGCGAUUCGGCCAAAGUGGCAAAUGCUUUAGAGCAUACACAUCAAAUUUUUGACCUGAACUCAGACGUGAUUACCCGCUGAACUUAAGCAUAUA